UUUUCUGGUUUUAGGGUUCAUAUAAUUAAUGUUGUUAUUGCUCUACUACCACUGCCAUCUUGUCAUUGGUGGUGGUGGGUAUAGCGAUGGCGGUGAUGGUAACCCAUCUUCUUUGGUGUACAAUUAAUGUUCUUACUUGCUUGCUGCGGGUUAUCAACUUCAUAUCACGUCAUUCUCUCUAACUUAGUUGCUACUAUCCAAGUAAAACUACAUCGCCAUUCACAUAUGAUGGUCCUUGAUAUUAGAGUUUCUUGGCUACAUAUUUGUUGGCUUGUUGCUUUAUGAUCCUAGAUAGGAAGUCAGAGGUAAUUCAUACCUUUGAAAGGACACUCUGCUCGUUUAGAGUGAUCAUUAUGGAUAGGAAUUUCUUGAUGAUAUUUUUAUUUAUUUUUAUAGAAAUAUGAGAAGUUGGUUACUGUAGUUUAUGAACGAUACCUGAGCUACUGUUGAAAAUGAAUAGGGGAUUUCCCUUUUUGGCCUUGCAAUCAAGUUCUUUGAUAUUGCUGUUUUGCUUUUCCUGGUUUUCCUCUCAUCCUCUUAUUUUGCUUGAGAUCAGUUCUCUUUAUUUCUCUCCUCCAUUGAAGAGUAAGCUGAGCUUUUUCUCCUCCAUUAAAUCUUCUUGAGUUAGAUUCAAUCAUCUAAUAUCUCCUCUCCUUCUGAUUCAGUCUCUCUCUCCUCUGAAAUUGAAUUGUAUCCAAAAUUAAGCUUCACUUUGAACACUGAGUCUUCUUCAAUUCAAGGUUUACAGGAUUUUGAAUUCUUGCAGUUCCACCCAACUGGUAUCUAUAUAUGGUCCUGGAUGCCUAAUCACUGAAGGUUGAUUUUACUCGUACAAUAUAUUUGUUCUUUUCGUUCUUUUGUCUAAUGAUUCAGAAACUAAUCUGUAGAAGAAAAUUUUGUAGUUUAUUCCGGAAUAUUUUCGUUUUUCUUUGAUGAUACCUUUUGCAGCCGCUUUUUUCUAGAAUUUUUUCUUUAGAAGUGAGCUUUAAUUUCCUUCUCAACUAGAAUUUGGAUAAAUUUUAAAAAGAACGAGUAGACAAACAUUGGUUAUGAGUAGUUGAUUUCAAUUGUUGUCAUCCUUUGCUCAUGUGCAAAUUCUUUUGGCUGUCAUCCUUGGCUUAACUGCAAAUUCUUUUGGUGGUGGUUAAUUCUUACAUUAUAACAUGUAAGCCAUUUGUCCCUGUAACUAUUUGCUGCAUAAAUUUCAUCAUUAUGAUUUUUGGCAUUCUGGAUCAGAAUGGUGGUGAAUCUGUCAUGACUCAAGUUUCUGAAAUGAGUUCAAGAUCUUGUCAAGUCAUCAGAAAAUGGCUUUAUUAAGCCACCAACAAAUAGAGUGAUAUCAAAUUAGGAAGAAGGUAUGGGUGCCUACUUAAGAUGGGAGACUAUGACACUCUUAUCGAGCUGUUGAAAUUUCAGGUAUUCUACUUGUUGCAAGUUUUGCAAUGCUUUAUUUAAUCAUACUCUGCUGGUUAACCUUUCUCACAAAUUUUGAUUUUUUGCUUACAAAACCUGUUACAUGGCCUCCAUCGAUUUGGAGAGUAGUUUGCGGAGUUGUUAAAUCUGGUAUACUUACAUAUGGUCCUUUCAUCUUUCUCGGAUUUGUUAUCUCCAUUUCUAAAUACCUAUGUUCUGCGUUAAAUUUUCAUGCUCUCCACUGUGCUAGCUUUUCUCCUGCUCUGCAUUGCCAUUUUGUAUAUUCAUUUUUACAGGAACAAACCUUGAAUGUGGUGCCAGAUUUCAAAAACCUUGUGAUUCAGGCUCUUCUCUUAAAGGUAUAGUCUCAAAAUUCUAAGCCGAACUUUUCAUGAUUGCUGCUACCUGUGGUGCAUUCUCCCUUUUGUUAUUAGGGGCGGCCUUCACAUAUCGAAGACAACAACUGCUUAACUUCAAAAAUGAAGUCCUUGAAGAUGUUGCAGGCCCUGGUGAUGGUAAAUUGCAUGUAAAAAAUUGAUCGGAAAUUUCAGAGAACUAUCGGGACCUCUUGAUGAAUUUGCUCACCCAUGUGAGUAUUCGGCAUGGUGAUAACAUUUUUGGGAGCUAUAUAUCUUUAGCAUAUGCGAGGACUUGAAGGAUGCCAACUCUUGGCAAGAUAUUGAGGAAAAAGUUAAGAGGAAUUCUGAACGAGAGUAUGGAUUUAUCUUAGUUCUGUUUUUUUUUUUUUUUUUUUUUUUUCUUAGGCCUAUUUGAUAGUCAAGUGCUGUGGCUUUCAUCAUUCACGAAUGUAUUUCCAAUUGUGGAUUUUUAUAUACCGCUCUUUGUAACUUCCUUUCUUCAACAAUGAUAUUAUUCACUUGCUUGUAAAAUUGUGUAAAGACAACUUUGCUUCAUGGAAAAUGGUAAUUGUAGACUUUUAAAAUGUCA